GACGAACGCUGGCGGCGUGCUUAACACAUGCAAGUCGAACGGAAAGGCCCUGCUUUUGUGGGGUGCUCGAGUGGCGAACGGGUGAGUAACACGUGAGUAACCUGCCCUUGACUUUAGGAUAACUUCAGGAAACUGGGGCUAAUACCGGAUAGGAGCUCCUGCUGCAUGGUGGGGGUUGGAAAGUUUCGGCGGUUGGGGAUGGACUCGCGGCUUAUCAGCUUGUUGGAGGGGUAGUGGCUUACCAAGGCUUUGACGGGUAGCCGGCCUGAGAGGGUGACCGGCCACAUUGGGACUGAGAUACGGCCCAGACUCCUACGGGAGGCAGCAGUGGGGAAUAUUGCACAAUGGGCGGAAGCCUGAUGCAGCAACGCCGCGUGCGGGAUGACGGCCUUCGGGUUGUAAACCGCUUUCGCCUGUGACGAAGCGUGAGUGACGGUAAUGGGUAAAGAAGCACCGGCUAACUACGUG
rnacentral:rRNA from 1 species